rnacentral:rRNA from 1 species
CAGGAUGAGCCCGCGGCCUAUUAGCUUGUUGGUGAGGUAGUGGCUCACCAAGGCGACGACGGGUAGCCGGCCUGAGAGGGCGACCGGCCACACUGGGACUGAGACACGGCCCAGACUCCUACGGGACCCAGCAGUGGGGAAUAUUGCACAAUGGGCGAAAGCCUGAUGCAGCGACGCCGCGUGAGGGAUGACGGCCUUCGGGUUGUAAACCUCUUUCAGCAGGGAAGAAGCGAAAGUGACGGUACCUGCAGAAGAAGCGCCGGCUAACUACGUGCCAGCAGCCGCGGUAAUACGUAGGGCGCAAGCGUUGUCCGGAAUUAUUGGGCGUAAAGAACUCGUAGGCGGCUUGUCACGUCGGUUGUGAAAGCCCGGGGCUUAACCCCGGGUCUGCAGUCGAUACGGGCAGGCUAGAGUUCGGUAGGGGAGAUCGGAAUUCCUGGUGUAGCGGUGAAAUGCGCAGAUAUCAGGAGGAACACCGGUGGCGAAGGCGGAUCUCUGGGCCGAUACUGACGCUGAGGAGCGAAAG